UCAGCUUAUUUUACCUUUCAAGAACUUUAAUUUAUGAACUUACUUGUGCGGUACAGUGAGGUAGCAUAUGAGUUUCAGAUAGAUUGCUGCUCAAUUUGGAUAUCAUGAAUGAGUAGAAUUUGGUUCCUCGGUUACCAGUUUGCUGAGCUUUUACCUUAUGCCGGAAAAUGCAAUCCAAACACAAGUUGAGGGCCGGAAAAUAGAGGUGGAGUACGAAUAUUGGCAGCCAAGGAUAUAUUACUAUGGACUUCAAAGUUCAUAAUUUUGUUUGUGCUGUACGGGUGGUGUGGACCAGAAUAAAGUACCUGGACUGAUAAUUGAUUUUCCGGAUAUCAAAUUGCUUGAUAUAAGUGCUUAAUAAUUGUAUGCUAGGCACUGGUGUUCUUGCUCAAGGACAGGAUAAAAGACAAAUAGUUCAUUGAUUAUGUGCUUCUCUUCCUCCACUUUGGUCAUGGUUGGUUCGCAGCAAGAUAUUAGAACCUUGGUUUGUUGUUGAUUGGAUUACUUUAUCCUAUUAGACUGCUGCUCUAUGGUCAAAUAUAAAGAUAAGAACUUUAACAGAAUACAAAUGAUCAGUUCAAAGAGUCAAAUUGGUGGCAUGAUGAUCAGUAAACGGCUGUAAGAGACCCUGUCUGCAUGUCCAAGCACGCGCUGCUCUUCUCUAUGACCUCAGUCUCUGGUUAAUGACUGGGGGAGGAGUAUACUAGGUUGUAACUGCAAAGACAUGGUGGUCUUACAGGACUACUUUAUAUAGUGAUGGACAUAUAAUGAACUAUCUUAAUUUCUUCAGGUGAAUAAAUAUUGGAUGAUGUAUAUGUUGUUCUCAAGUACAUUUCAUGUUGGUUGAUAAAAUUGAAAGCCACGUGCUUGUGGAACAUAUGUUAUUGAUGGCUCAAAAUGCUUUAUGUUAAAUUGUUGAAAGCUGCUUGGAAU